CGAGAAUCGAACCCAUGACCUCAGAGGUGGAAGGUAUACUUGCUCAUACGACCAAAGUUCAAUGUAGAGAAGGGCAAUACGUCUUGAGGAAUGAUUCUUUCACUGCUUCUCUACAGGUGGAGAAGGACCUAAGAGGGUCGUUCUCGAAGAAGUGCGUGAACAACAUCAACUCCACGACAGAGUUCAUCUACUUGGAAGUUUGAAACAUGAACACGUUCGUGAUGUGAGUACAGACCAUUGGCUUAUUGCAUUUUUAACACCCCCUCCCCUUCCAUGGAGGAUACUGGAAUUUCCAGACCCCCCUUCCUAAAAUUCAACAACAAAAAAGGUUAAAAAAACAACAUGGAAAUUCCAAGGGAUGGUUACCUAUUAAACAAGAAAUGUGGAAAUUCCAGAGACUAGGUCAAGAACCAUCGGUGGAAUUUCCAAGGGAUGUGUAGAAAUUCAUUAAAAAUCCGUGGAAAUUCCAUGGGCUAGGCAUCUGGAAAUUUGUACAAAAUCUGUGGAAUUCCAUGGGGUAGGCAGGAAAUUCUUCAACAUCUGCGGAAUUCAAGGGAGGGGGGGUCCAAAAAAUGGAUGUCCUUCAUAGGGGGGUGGGGUGGACUAAAAAUGCAAUAAGGCCAUUGGCGGGAGCCAUAGAAACAAGUCAAAAUAAUAGAUGACACAAUGAGAUUUUUAAAACAAUGAAAAGACAAUAGACAUUCCGGUCACUGGAUCGUGGCUGGAUGCAGCAUUGUUAUGCUACAGUAGGUAUUAUUGUGCAGAGGAUAUGGAGUGUGAUUUUUAGAAAUGUUUGUAUGUUCUUUUAGGUUUUGGUCCAAGGGGAUAUUUUCUUGAAUACCUCUUUAACGGAAGCUUUUUGUAUUGCCAUUGUAGAAGCUGC